UCUCUAAGCAACGGAUGUCUUGGCUCCUCACACGAUGAAGAACGUGGCAUAAUGUGUUAAGUAACCGGAGUUGCAAACAUCAUGACAGGUUAAUCUUUGAAUGCAAAUUGCGCUUACCCGACUUCGGUCGAGGAGCAUGCGUGUAACAGUACAACAUAAUUUA
rnacentral:rRNA from 1 species